ensembl:miRNA
AGGUGGAAGGAUUGCUUGAGCUGGGGAGAUGGAGGUUGCAGUGAGCUGAGAUCAUGCCACUGUACUCCAGCCUGGGAGACAGAGUGAGUCCCUGUCUC